CUAGUUGGUAAGGUAACGGCUUACCAAGGCGACGAUCAGUAGCCGACCUGAGAGGGUGAUCGGCCACAUUGGAACUGAGACACGGUCCAAACUCCUACGGGAGGCAGCAGUGGGGAAUAUUGCACAAUGGGCGAAAGCCUGAUGCAGCAACGCCGCGUGAGCGAUGAAGGCCUUCGGGUCGUAAAACUCUGUCCUCAAGGAAGAUAAUGACGGUACUUGAGGAGGAAGCCCCGGCUAACUACGUGCCAGCAGCCGCGGUAAUACGUAGGGGGCUAGCGUUAUCCGGAAUUACUGGGCGUAAAGGGUGCGUAGGUGGUCUUUCAAGUCAGAAGUGAAAGGCUACGGCUCAACCGUAGUAAGCUCUUGAAACUGGGAGACUUGAGUGCAGGAGAGGAGAGUGGAAUUCCUAGUGUAGCGGUGAAAAUGCGUA
rnacentral:rRNA from 1 species